UCGUAUAAGAGAAGUAACACAGCCCACAGCCCAUUCUCGCCAGAGCCCGCGGUAACACUCCCUGUGCAUUGAGUUAGUAUGCAAUGAGAUGUGACCCCUGUGACAGACAGACAGACAUCACAGUGCCCACACACAAUUAACUUCAUUGAACGUUCGAAGAAGGCUGGAAGCUGAGAUUCAAUUUUAUACAGUCUUAGUUAAGAGGAAGACAAGAUAGGAGAGUAGAGUCCCAUCAAUGAAGGCCACGUAACCGGUCAUGCAAAGAGGGAAGGCCAAGGCCAUCAUAACUGCCCCAAUGAGCGUUCUCUUCCGUUCUCUGACCAUUCUAUCGAUUGUCAUGGUGACUGUGGGCACACCAAGAGUAACAGAAGUCACAAACUGGCCCAGCAGCCGCGGUAAU
rnacentral:rRNA from 1 species